GACGAACGCUGGCGGCGUGCUUAACACAUGCAAGUCGAACGCUGAAGCUCAGCUUUUGUUGGGUGGAUGAGUGGCGAACGGGUGAGUAACACGUGAGUAACCUGCCUCCUUCUUUGGGAUAACGCCCGGAAACGGGUGCUAAUACUGGAUAUUCACUGGUCUUCGCAUGGGGGUUGGUGGAAAGGGUUUUUCUGGUGGGGGAUGGGCUCGCGGCCUAUCAGCUUGUUGGUGGGGUGAUGGCCUACCAAGGCUUUGACGGGUAGCCGGCCUGAGAGGGUGACCGGUCACAUUGGGACUGAGAUACGGCCCAGACUCCUACGGGAGGCAGCAGUGGGGAAUAUUGCACAAUGGGCGCAAGCCUGAUGCAGCGACGCCGCAUGAGGGAUGGAGGCCUUCGGGUUGUGAACCUCUUUCGCUCAUGGUCAAGCCGCAACAAUGGUUGUGGUGAGGGUAGUGGGUAAAGAAGCGCCGGCUAACUACGUG
rnacentral:rRNA from 1 species